rnacentral:rRNA from 1 species
AACGAACGCUGGCGGCAUGCCUAACACAUGCAAGUCGAACGAAGCCUUCGGGCUUAGUGGCGCACGGGUGCGUAACGCGUGGGAAUCUGCCCUUGGGUUCGGAAUAACAGUUAGAAAUGACUGCUAAUACCGGAUGAUGUCUUCGGACCAAAGAUUUAUCGCCCAAGGAUGAGCCCGCGUAGGAUUAGGAAGUUGGUGGGGUAAUGGCCCACCAAGCCGACGAUCCUUAGCUGGUCUGAGAGGAUGAUCAGCCACACUGGGACUGAGACACGGCCCAGACUCCUACGGGAGGCAGCAGUGGGGAAUAUUGGACAAUGGGCGAAAGCCUGAUCCAGCAAUGCCGCGUGAGUGAUGAAGGCCUUCGGGUUGUAAAGCUCUUUUACCAGGGAUGAUAAUGACAGUACCUGGAGAAUAAGCUCCGGCUAACUCCGUGCCAGCCGCCGCGGUAA